rnacentral:rRNA from 1 species
AACGCUAGCGGCAGGCUUAACACAUGCAAGUCGAGGGGCAGCAUAUUUGAUAGCAAUAUUAGAUGAUGGCGACCGGCGCACGGGUGCGUAACGCGUAUGCAACCUACCAUAUACAGGGGGAUAAUCUUUCGAAAGGAAGUCUAAUACCCCAUAGUAUUAUUUUCAGGCAUCUGAAAAUAAUUAAAGAUUUAUUGGUAUAUGAUGGGCAUGCGUGUCAUUAGCUAGUUGGUAAGGUAACGGCUUACCAAGGCUACGAUGACUAGGGGUUCUGAGAGGAAGAUCCCCCACACUGGUACUGAGACACGGACCAGACUCCUACGGGAGGCAGCAGUGAGGAAUAUUGGUCAAUGGGCGAGAGCCUGAACCAGCCAUGCCGCGUGCAGGAAGACUGCCCUACGGGUUGUAAACUGCUUUUAUGUGAGGAUAAACCUAGAUUUGCGAAUCUAGCUGAAGGUAUCACAUGAAUAAGGAUCGGCUAACUCCGUG